GUCAAUGAGUUGCCAGUCUGCACCCAGUUCCAGCGAUGGGUCCCCCGUAAUCUCUUUCUGACUAGUUGACCAACCCGUUUAUCAUCCCUAGUAUGAGAACUGAAGCUGCUGCUGUGGCCACUGUUUCUGUCACUGGAUGAGUGUGCUCUGGAAAGGCCUCAACUCCAGCGUCACAGACCUUUCAUGUGGACCUCCUAAGUUUUCUUAGGCCAGAAAAAUGUCUCACCCUGACCUUGUGUUCACUCUGCUGCUCCAAAAUUUUAUUUGAGGCAUUAUUUUAAAGUUGUUGAGGGGAAUGUUAAUAGAGUUCAGCCGGGUUGCUGCCUCUAAUCUACCAUCUUGGUUCCACCCCCACCUCCAAGUGUUUUAUUUUAUAAAUAUUGUCUCAGUUGAUCUUCACAGCUCUGCAAGGUUGGAUUGCCCAGGAUUAGUUCACAAAACCAAUGGCUAUGCAUCAGGAAAGGGAGGGGACCUAAACAGGGUGAAAAGAAGACUGCAGACCAGGAAAAGCCAACCUGAACACACACCGGAUUUCUAGGGGCCUGAUAAUUAUAGGAAAUGCACCACCAAUUGGACCCAAGGGCACACCAGAUGGAGGAAGGUCACUGUGAUCGGAUGUUGAUGCUUAAAAUGCUGUCUUCAGGAACUGGUGGCUCUGGGAAUUAUAUAACUGCUGCCAGCUGUUGUGUGGAUUCAAACUAAAUUUGGCUAAUAAGAAUAUGGUUUUAUGAAUUAGAAAAAGUUUUAGCUUGCCUCUUAUUUGUUCUGAUGGAUAGCUGGAAUUGCCUCAAAAACUUCUUGGGAUUCAUCCUGAUUCAAGGUUUUUUUGUUUUUCCUACAGAGAUUCAUUACAAGAAGAAUAACAGAAUACCAAUUAUGUUUCCUACUGUAUCACUUCUGUACAUAGCGGCAACUCUUUCUAACGUUGUGUCUUCAUGUGACUGGGGGUUCUCCCUACCUAUCGCUACCUGUACUGUUCCAUUCCAAACAGAGCCUAGGAAAGUCUGAGUCUGCAGUUUUAACUUUUAUUUAAUUUAAUUUUAUAUUCCUGUGUUUUUCAUUGAAGAAAGAGAAUACUGUUACUGAGUGUGCUGGUAAACAUUUAAUAAUGACUUCUUUGAAAAAAAAGUACACUUGACACACUUUUAAGUUUGAUGUGCGUCAUUAACAUUUUC
rnacentral:lncRNA from 1 species